rfam:Setosphaeria turcica Et28A unplaced genomic scaffold SETTTscaffold_1, whole genome shotgun sequence.
ACAUACGACCAUAGGUACUAGAAUUCUGUGUCUCUCGUUCGCUCGGCAAUACAUAAGCUAGUAACCGGCGGAUUAGUAGUCAGGUGGGUGACCACUGGCGAAUCCCCGCUGUUGUAUGUU